GACGAACGCUGGCGGCGUGCCUAAUACAUGCAAGUCGAACGCUUCUUUCCUCCCGAGUGCUUGCACUCAAUUGGAAAGAGGAGUGGCGGACGGGUGAGUAACACGUGGGUAACCUACCCAUCAGAGGGGGAUAACACUUGGAAACAGGUGCUAAUACCGCAUAACAGUUUAUGCCGCAUGGCAUAAGAGUGAAAGGCGCUUUCGGGUGUCGCUGAUGGAUGGACCCGCGGUGCAUUAGCUAGUUGGUGAGGUAACGGCUCACCAAGGCCACGAGGCAGAGCCGACCUGGGCGGGUGAGCGGCCACACUGGGACUGCGCCACGGCCCAGACUCCUACGGGAGGCAGCAGUAGGGAAUCUUCGGCAAUGGACGGAAGUCUGACCGAGCAACGCCGCGUGAGUGAAGAAGGUUUUCGGAUCGUAAAACUCUGUUGUUAGAGAAGAACAAGGACGUUAGUAACUGAACGUCCCCUGACGGUAUCUAACCAGAAAGCCACGGCUAACUACGUGCCAGCAGCCGCCGUAA
rnacentral:rRNA from 1 species